rnacentral:rRNA from 1 species
UACAGAGGUCUCGAGCGUUUGUUCGGAUUCAUUGGGCGUAAAGGGUGCGUAGGUGGCGCCGUAAGUCGGGUGUGAAAUUUCGGAGCUUAACUCCGAAACUGCAUUCGAUACUGCGGUGCUUUGAGGACUGGGAGAGGAGACUGGAAUUUCAUGGUGUAGCAGUGAAAUGCGUAGAGAUCAUGAGGAAGACCAGUGGCGAAGGCGGGUCUCUGGACAGUUCCUGACACUGAGGCACGAAGGCCCAGGGGGAGCAAAACGGGG